rnacentral:ncRNA from 2 species
AGCAGUCAGAUUUGCAUUACUUGUAUAGGUGUCAAAUUUCGGCUGACACGUAUCUACCCACUGGCCUAUGUGUGGACUACAAGUAACCUUUUCCCCCAU